rnacentral:rRNA from 1 species
CCUACGGGAGACAGCAGUGGGGAAUAUUGCGCAAUGGGCGAAAGCCUGACGCAGCGACGCCGCGUGAGGGAUGAAGGUCUUCUGAUCGUAAACCUCUGUCAGCAGGGAAGAACGGUCACUGUGCUAAUCACCAGUGAAUUGACGGUACCUGCAAAGGAAGCACCGGCUAACUCCGUGCCAGCAGCCGCCGUAAUACGGAGGGUGCGAGCGGUAAUCGGAAUUACUGGGCGUAAAGCGCUCGUAGGCGGUAUGUCAAGUCAAGGGUGAAAUCCCCGCGCUCAACGUGGGAACUGCAUUUGAAACUGGCAGACUGGAGUGUGUGAGAGGAUAGUGGAAUGCCAGGUGUAGGAGUGAAAUCCGUAGAUAUCUGGAGGAACAUCAGUGGCGAAGGCGACUAACUGGCACAUAACUGACGCUGAGGAGCGAAAGCGUGGGUAGCAAACAGGAUUAGAUACCCGUGUAGUC